rnacentral:rRNA from 1 species
UAGUCCACGCCGUAAACGUUGGGCACUAGGUGUGGGGAUUUAUCAACGAUCUCCGCGCCGUCGCUAACGCAUUAAGUGCCCCGCCUGGGGAGUACGUCGGCAACGAUGAAACUCAAAGGAAUUGACGGGGGCCCGCACAAGCGGUGGAGCAUGUGGUUUAAUUCGAUGAUACGCGAGGAACCUUACCAGGGCUUAAAUGCAGUCUGACAGCUUUAGAGAUAGAGUUUUCUUCGGACAGAUUGCAAGGUGCUGCAUGGUUGUCGUCAGCUCGUGCCGUGAGGUGUCAGGUUAAGUCCUAUAACGAGCGCAACCCCUGUUGUUAGUUGCCAGCGAGUAAUGUCGGGAACUCUAGCAAGACUGCCGGUGCAAACCGUGAGGAAGGUGGGGACGACGUCAAAUCAUCACGGCCCUUACGUCCUGGGCUACACACGCGCUACAAUGGCAGGUACAGAGGGCAGCCACUGCGCAAGCAGGAGCGAAUCCCAAAAGCCUGUCUCAGUUCGG